rnacentral:rRNA from 1 species
GACGAACGCUGGCGGCGUGCUUAACACAUGCAAGUCGAGCGGUAAGGCCCUUUCGGGGGUACACGAGCGGCGAACGGGUGAGUAACACGUGGGUGACCUGCCUUUAGCUCUGGGAUAAGCCUGGGAAACUGGGUCUAAUACCGGAUAUGACUCCGCGGUGCAUGCUGUGGGGUGGAAAGCCUUGUGCGGCUGGAGAUGGGCCCGCGGCCUAUCAGCUUGUUGGUGGGGUGANGGCCUACCAAGGCGACGACGGGUAGCCGGCCUGAGAGGGCGACCGGCCACACUGGGACUGAGACACGGCCCAGACUCCUACGGGAGGCAGCAGUGGGGAAUCUUGCGCAAUGGGCGAAAGCCUGACGCAGCGACGCCGCGUGAGGGAUGACGGCCU